rnacentral:lncRNA from 1 species
AAAACUUUUCUUAAUAGAAAAAAAAGUCUCAAUUUCAUCUUCCAAAAAACAACAAAAAGUUCCUCAAUUUCAUCUUCCAAAAAAAUCAAAAUGCUUUUGCCACAACCAACCAGCAUGCGCCACAUGGCCAUGCUGGUUGGCCGCCAUUCUCCCGUAGCUUAAUGUGUCUUCCAAAAGAAAUCAAAAUGUUUUUUGCCACGGCCAACCAGCAUGCGCCACAUGGCCAUGCUGAUUGGCCGCCAUUCUCCGUAGCUUAAUGUGUUUGAUGAUCAAUCACUCCAACUGGUUUUAUAUAUGCUACAGUACGACUAUUACAAGAACCAAAUGCAUCCUCUAAAAUACUACUCAGAUUAAUAAAACUGGAAAUGAAUGAAUGUAAUUAAGGCUUCCAUAUCUUCAUCAUACAAUCUUCGGCAUAGGUGGCAACCAAGUUCCUGUGAGGGUGGUGAGUAAUGCCAAUCACAUCCUUAAGGCUUCCAUAUCUUCAUCAUACAAUCUUCGGCAUAGGUGGCAACCAAGUUCCUGUGAGGGUGGUGAGUAAUGCCAAUCACAUCCUUGUCAUGGACCUGAAACGGUGUCAAGGUGUU